GGGCCGCUGGUCUAGUGGUAUGAUUCUCGCUUAGGGUUCAGCCUGAGCACGGUUGCGAGAGGUCCCGGGUUCAAUCCCCGGGUGGCCCC